rnacentral:rRNA from 1 species
AGCGAACGCUGGCGGCAGGCCUAACACAUGCAAGUCGAGCGGCCGUAGCAAUACGGCAGCGGCAGACGGGAGAGUAACACGUGGGAACGCGCCCUCCGGUUCGGGAUAACUCAGGGAAACUUGGGCUAAUACCGGAUACGCCCUUACGGGGAAAGAUUUAUUGCCGAAGGAACGGCCCGCGUCCGAUUAGCUUGUUGGUGAGGUAACGGCUCACCAAGGCGACGAUCGGUAGCUGGUCUGAGAGGAUGACCAGCCUCACUGGGACUGAGACACGGCCCAGACUCCUACGGGAGGCAGCAGCGGGGAAUAUUGGACAAUGGGCGCAAGCCUGAUCCAGCCAUGCCGCGUGGGUGAUGAAGGCCCUAGGGUUGUAAAGCCCUUUCAGCGGGGAAGAUAAUGACGGUACCCGCAGAAGAAGCCCCGGCUAACUUCGUGCCAGCAGCCGCAGUAAAAC